UGGGGAAUUUUGGACAAUGGGCGCAAGCCUGAUCCAGCAAUGCCGCGUGCAGGAUGAAGGCCUUCGGGUUGUAAACUGCUUUUGUACGGAACGAAUAGGCUCUGGUUACUACCUGGGGCUCAUGACGGUACCGUAAGAAUAAGCACCGGCUAACUACGUGCCAGCAGCCGCGGUAAUACGUAGGGUGCAAGCGUUAAUCGGAAUUACUGGGCGUAAAGCGUGCGCAGGCGGUUAUGUAAGACAGAUGUGAAAUCCCCGGGCUCAACCUGGGACCUGCAUUUGUGACUGCAUAGCUAGAGGACGGCAGAGGGGGAUGGAAUUCCGCGUGUAGCAGUGAAAUGCGUAGAUAUGCGGUGGAACACCGGUGGCGAAGGCAAUCCCCUGGGCCUGUACUGACGCUCAUGCACGGAAGCGUGGGGAGAGAACA
rnacentral:rRNA from 1 species